GAUUAAGUUUGGACUUAAUGAUCUCAUCCAAACUACUGUAGUGAUUAUCCCUCGAUGGUGUGCUACUUUAAUAGCCUUAAAUCUCAAAAUUGUGCAAGGGUCUUCCUUCCCCAUGUACACAGCUCAAUGCUCCUGGAAAUUUAAAGAUCUCCAGCUAUGGAAGAAAUUGAGAGGGAAUAAGAGAAACCGCCGUCCAACACCUAAACCCUGACAUCCCAUCAUCACAGCGCAGAAGCCGGGAAGGCUCCAUCUCCCGAAACAUUCUGGAGUUGAGAGAGGGGAAAGAGUUUUCGAGAUGGUUGUGAAGGGGUGUGUGUAUGUGUACCAGAUACUUUUGUAUCUAAAGACUCCACCUCAAUUUUGGUGAUUCUGACCCCGUAAAACUCAAAACAAAUAAUGCUCACAGGGGAGAAAAGUUUAAAAAGUUCACUGCUCUCAGGUUGAAACAUCACAUGAGAAACAAACGCUCCCAAUAAGCUGAUUCCGUUCCCUGAGAAUGGAGUAAACCUAUAAAUGAUAACAUCUUGUGUGUGUGGAGGUGGGGGGAAACCCAGGAAUAAAAAGAAAAGUGAAAGAGAAGAAACAGAGAAGGAAAGCGGGGAGGUGGCAAAGAUGGAAUAGGGCGAUCCUUCGGCCUACAAGGGGAUUAAGGACAUCUCUAAGGCUUAAGGAGCAACAAAUUAAUUUACACAAUCCUGGGAGAGCCCAGAUGGCCUUUAAUUAAUCCCUUCAAAAGAAGGAGCUAGGCCAGGGCUGCGCCGGCUGCCUGCUCCAUUAGCUCCAUUUUACAAGAGACCAGACUCUGUUCGAGGUGAGGCGUCGUGAGCUCGUGGGGGAAGGGGGGCUAGGGUGACGAGAGCAGGCGAGGGGGAGGCGAGGGAAGAAUAUGAACUGCUCUUCCAUAAAAGGGCUGGGUUUUCAUUAUUCUUCUCUUUAAAAAGUAAUACCCUUUUCGUCUCUACUCCCCCCCUCCCCUUUCCCAUUUUAUUUAACACAAUUAAUUGAGGCGUCCACUGGCCCAGAGACCGAACGGCACCACUCGCCAGGCCCCGCCCCCUUGCCCCGCCCACCGGCGGGAUAGAAGUGGGAGGGGGCGGGAAUCAGGCGGGCGCGGUCCUACGGCUCGCCCUCUUCAGCCAAUCAGAAGGCGCGGCGCUUCCGAGUGGGAGUGACCCGGAGGCGACGCGAGGCCCCAGGCAGAGCGCUAUUGGAGACGGUGGUUACGCCCCCGGCUUGCACCCCACCCUCCCCGCUCCUCGGGCCCGCCCUUCCCGGCUGCCUCGGAGUGACGUCCUUCAAAGUUCUCAUUUUGGACCCCCCAUCUGCCCCUCCCUCUCGUCCCCCAGCUAAAGAGGGGUAGGGAGUGAUGCAAAUGUUUUAUUACCUUUGAGAGCUUCAUCUGAACUGUCAGGCCCGGAGGGAGCAAGGAGAGGAGAGAGAGAGUACCCCGUGGCGCACAGGGGAAGACGGGUCGGCGCGCCGAGUCUGGGAGCCGCGGAGAUCGGUGGCACUGCCCUUUCUGGCGCCGAAGCCUCGGGCAGAGCAGGCGGAGGAAGCCCACCCAGAGGCCAACCCUCCGGCGGGUUAGAUGCGCUCUCUCCCUGCGCGCUCCGCGCGCCGAGUGCGAAAUCAACCUCGUGGCCGAAAGAGCAGGGCAUCCAAGUAAGACUGGAGCUCGUCGAGCGGAACCCGGCAUCCUUUGAACCUCCCCGAAGAAAGCGAGCCGGCCCCCCAACCCCCAACUCUCCCCACAUCAAAGAUUCGGUGAUUCUUAACUUUGUUACGAGCUCUCUGGGGCCGGACGGGGUUUGGUUUUGCUUAUUUCCAAGAGGGAGAAGAUGAGAAGUUGCGCUCUUUGAGCGGCGAGGAAAAA